CCAGCUCGAAGGCCACGAAGCUCACUACGCACAGGAUGUCAUUGUCAUGCAUCCGAUAUCGUGAGCGGGCUAAGGUCUGAGUAUUAUAAUCUCCCUCGAUUGGCUCUAGCAGGGCCAGGUCGUAAUCCGACUGAGCGAUGUACCAGAAAUCAGCCUUUUUCCCUCGAUUGCCCAAGAUCCUGUUAUUCAGGGGAGGUGAGGAGACUACGGCUUUGGAAUGCGUUGCGGGGUUCGGGCGGGGUUCUGGGUCGCUCUCUGUUGCCUUCAUCUCGCAGAUGUGCCUCCCAAAAGGGCGCUCUGAGCGCAUAUCACAGCACACGUCGUUGGGCAAAGUAUCGACCAAUAUCCCAUGAAUAUCAUUCAGACGGGCGGCUGUGUUAACAAUACGAAGAUUUGGUGCGAUCUGUCUUGGCCUACAGUCAAAGGUGUUGCAUUGUAGGCCGCGAUGAGGGCACGAUCGCUCCCGAUGUAUUGUUCACCAACCUUUCUGUGAAGUCUGAUGAGGUUCAAUGGGGGUGAUAGCUUCAGCGAGAGUUGUCACUGUGCGCAAAAGAUACUCCCUGCGAACGAGAAGGUGGUUGGCGCGGUCAUACAGAGAACUCUUGUCCUUUAGUGCACUUCGUGGCUCACAUCUCUCUGGGAUGUGAAACUCGAUUCAGACUACUCUUGGACUGG
rnacentral:RNase_P_RNA from 2 species